rnacentral:misc_RNA from 1 species
CGUCAAGCCAUGGGAGUCGGGGGUACCUGAAGGACGUAACCGCAAGGGGCGUACUAGGGUAAUACCGGUGACUGGGGCUAAGUCGUAACAAGGUAGCCGUACCGGAAGGUGCGGCUGGAACACCUCCUUUCUGGAGUUCGGAGCAACAGGUAGCAGAAAAUCCGCCGUCUCGCAACAGGCUCAAAAAGGAUCGGGAAAAGACAGAGGAGAGAGGGGUAUUGACGAGAGGAAAGGGAUACCGGAUUGCUUUUCGAAGGUCUUGCGUACCGCUUUUGUUCGAAGUAUGAAUUAAACAUAUACCCUCGCGGGUGCGAGGGGCCGGAGGGCUCAUAAGAAGAGUUCGUCGGCCUGACGUCACCCCGGGAGGAUCCUCGGUAAAGGUCGUCGGAGCGAGCAAAAGCUUUUUACGCCGCAAGAUCCGAGGGACUUCCCCCGCGCCGGUUGAAGGAAUCGGCAAACAGGCMGCAGAGAGGAAUAGAGUAAUCAAGCAGUCCUAUAGCUCAGUUGGUUAGAGCGCUACACUGAUAAUGUAGAGGUCGGCAGUUCAACUCUGCCUGGGACUACGGGGGAUUAGCUCAGCUGGCUAGAGCACCUGCUUUGCAAGCAGGGGGUCAUCGGUUCGAAUCCGAUAUUCUCCACGAAGACAGCGAUCAUUGACAUAUUGAGAUAUAAGCAAGAAGAAAAAGUAGAGCAAUAAAAAAGCUGAAGUAUACCGCCUGUCAUGCCGGAAGAGGUAUGAAGCGGAGAAAAAGUAAGAAAGGGCAGACGGUGGAUGCCUAGGCUCUCGGAGGCGUGAAG